GACAUCAGCAGAGCCCAGAACUCCUCCCGCUGGCCAGCAUGGGCUCUUUCUUCCCGGCCAAAGCUCUGAUUUCCACCGUCAUAGCGCUGGAGCAGCACCUCAUAAAGCAAGCAAACAGACACUGCUGAAUAGAACUCUGAUAGAAGGUGGAAGACGAAUUGGACUCAGUGCUUAUGGGCUCCAUCCAACUUGGGAUAAUCUAUGAUUCACAGGUUUUGAAAUUUGUGGCUUACUGUGGAUGGCCAGAUGGAUGUAAGAGUAAAGAAGACUGUCUACUCAACAUUUUCACAGAGAAAACUGCCGAGCUGGAAUGUGAAGUCCGUGUAAGUCCAGGAGGGAAAAAGAACAGGAAUGGUCAAAAACGAAGUCCUGCGGCUAUUGGAACAUCAUCAGCUCUGGCUUCUGGAGGCCUGGUCCACCAAAUUACAACCAUGGAAGAAGCCUGAUUACUGAGACCACAUUCCUCAAACUCUUUCCUGCCGUGCCGAUCAUUCAGCGCAGCCCCCGGACUGGGAUAAAUCCUGGAUUACAGUGAGAUUCUGUCAGACUCAUGACCCUGCUUACAGCUGCAGCCACUCUAGCUGGGCUUUUGGCCCCUUUUAUUGGGAGUUGUGGUGUUUGUGUCAAAUUUUUGACACUGUUCUUCAGUUGCAGUUGGUUCUAUCGUAAGUGGGCGGAAAAAGUCGAGAGCUUUCUGAUUCAGGUUAUCUGUUUGCAAAAUGAAUGCACGCUAAAACUGCGUGCUAAUUAGUCAUGCAAAAAAAGAAUAUAUGUACAGUAUACAGAUAGAGACAUUCCCCCUCCUUGUAGGAUCUCCAAACCUCUUGAAAACGUAACAAAUAGUUCCCAGAGGUCACUUUAUCUCCUCCUGAACUGCAGCCAGUGCUGGAGUGAUCUGUGGCAAAUAUUUAACAUUCCAGAGAGACAAUUUAGGCUAGGAAGUGGAAAGGAAAGCCUUGUUCAAUUGAAACUAGAGGGAGAUUUCAGAUAGGCAGGAUGUAAAUACCUAAAUUGUGUUUCGAUUAAUUACUCUGAGGUAGUCAUAAGCUUGGUCACCUUUUAUAAACAGUCAUAAGAGGAAAGGAAAACUAUAGAAAGGGAAUUUCAAAAUCAUCCUUCACAAACAUGAAUGAGUUAAACAAUAUCUGAUAAGAAGGCAGUGUCUUGGGUUUUAUUUUCAAAACAUCCCAUGUGUAAAUGAGUAAUGCAACGUUCAACUCUUGAGCAAGUGGCCAUGUACAUAACAAGCUGUUUACUCAAGAUACUUCCAUCAAACACAAUCAGGUUGCCUAACUAAGUUUGCAAGCAAAUUUUACAAGACCCCCAUUGCAACAGGUACUGACUGCAAAUACCUCACACAAAAGUCUAAGAAAGGAUUAAAGCUAAAUGUGACACUGAUAGUGAGCAUUGACGUACAGAAAUGUUAUCUCUGGGAAA